rnacentral:misc_RNA from 1 species
AACUUUUGGCAACGGAUCACUUUGGGCUGGGCACUGCAGGGGCUUGGCGUGUGGUGGUUGUAUCGUCGAUUGUCACAUCCAGGGCUCAAAUAUUUCGGCUUUGCUUUGUUCGUUGCGGUCGCCGCGCGUCUUUUGCUCAAUGACGAAAUUCUCCGGUAUCACGAGCGUGGAUUUCCCGUGUUCAACUGGAUGCUCUACACCUACGCGAUCGCGGCGGCUUGUUGCAUCAUCGGUGCGGUGUGGCUGGCACCGAUCGAGCGCGAACGCCUGGAGGCUUGGGAAAAGCCGUUCUGGGAGCCGCAGAAAUUCACCUUGGCGGCGAUCACGGCGGUGUUCGGCCUACUCCUCGUCUUUGCGCUGAUCAAUCUCGAGAUCGCCGACUACUUCUCCUCCGGCACCUACCUCGAGCUCAGCUGGGAGCAUCAGUCGGCGCGCGACUUAAGCAUAUCAAUAAGCGGAGGCU